rnacentral:rRNA from 1 species
UACAUGGGGUGCAAACGUUGCUCGGAAUUAUUGGGCGUAAAGCGCACGUAGGCGGUUUGUUAAGUCGGAUGUGAAAUCCCUCGGCUCAACUGAGGAAGUGCAUCCGAAACUGGCAGGCUUGAGUACUAAAGAGGGUCGCGGAAUUCCCGGUGUAGAGGUGAAAUUCGUAGAUAUCGGGAGGAACACCAGUGGCGAAGGCGGUGCUCUGGGCCGGUACUGACGCUGAGGAGCGAAAGCGUGGGUAGCAAACAGG